rnacentral:rRNA from 1 species
AUACGGAGGGGGCUAGCGUUGUUCGGAAUUACUGGGCGUAAAGCGUGCGUAGGUGGUCUGUUAAGUCAGGUGUGAAAGCCCUGGGCUCAACCUAGGAACUGCAUUUGAUACUGGCAGACUAGAGUGUGGUAGAGGGUAGUGGAAUUCCCGGUGUAGCGGUGAAAUGCGUAGAUAUCGGGAGGAACAUCAGUGGCGAAGGCGGCUACCUGGACCAACACUGACACUGAGGUACGAAAGCGUGGGGAGCAAACAGGAUUAGAAACCCCGGUAGUCC